GACGAACGCUGGCGGCGUGCUUAACACAUGCAAGUCGAACGGAAAGGCCCUGCUUUUGUGGGGUGCUCGAGUGGCGAACGGGUGAGUAACACGUGAGUAACCUGCCCUUGACUUUGGGAUAACUUCAGGAAACUGGGGCUAAUACCGGAUAGGAGCUCCUGCUGCAUGGUGGGGGUUGGAAAGUUUCGGCGGUUGGGGAUGGACUCGAGGCUUAUCAGCUUGUUGGUGGGGUAGUGGCUUACCAAGGCUUUGACGGGUAGCCGGCCUGAGAGGGUGACCGGCCACAUUGGGACUGCGGUACGGCCCAGACUCCUACGGGAGGCAGCAGUGGGGAAUAUUGCACAGUGGGCGGAAGCCUGAUGCAGCAACGCCGCGUGCGGGAUGACGGCCUUCGGGUUGUAAACCGCUUUCGCCUGUGACGAAGCGUGAGUGACGGUAAUGGGUAAAGAAGCACCGGCUAACUACGUG
rnacentral:rRNA from 1 species